UACGUAGGGGGCUAGCGUUGUCCGGAAUCAUUGGGCGUAAAGCGCGCGUAGGCGGCCCAGUAAGUCCGUUGUAAAAGUCAAAGGCUCAACCUUUGAAAGCCGAUGGAUACUGCUGGCUAGAGUCCGGAAGAGGCGAGUGGAAUUCCUGGUGUAGCGGUGAAAUGCGCAGAUAUCAGGAGGAACACCGAUUGCGAAGGCAGCUCGCUGGGACGUUACUG
rnacentral:rRNA from 1 species